AACACUUGGAAGCUCCUCAGGAGCAGAAACAACGUGUGGUUACCUUUUUGUAUUCCUGAUGGUGCUCAGCAUAGAAUGCAUCACAUGACAUGUGUCAAUAUUUAUUUGAUGAAUGAUCUGACAUGACAUGGAAUAAUCCAGGAAUGCCAAGGCAUGGAUUCACCACUUCUGAAAAAACCUGGGAAACUGCUACAAAAGGGGUUGUUCUGAUGAUCCACUGGCAAAGAGGAGGCACAAAAACAGCCAGGCUCCAGAAUUCACUGAGGUGAAAUGAGUUAAUGAAAAUCAAAACAGAGGAGCAGCAAGACCAGUGGAAAUAACUCCAAUAUCCAAGGAGUGACCAACUGGCACAGAUCAUCCCCCGCUCUACUCUCCCUCCAAAAGCCAGACCACUGGGAAGUGUCCACGGCGGUCAGAUGCCAUCAGGAGCUGAAAUGAAAUGGACUAUGCGGUGUAUGUCUUCCUUUGUGUGGGGAGAAGGGACUUGUCCAUAAUGCGAGUCUGCUGGCCCAGGUCAUGAAUGACAGGCACAGCUCCCAGCCCCAAAUCAUCACAAGGGUCCAUGACCUAUUUUCAACAUUUCAACAAGCCCAAUCCAGCCUGGGCAGCAUGGUGAAACCCCGUCUCUACAAAAAAUACAAAAAUUAGCUAGGCAUGGUGAUGCACGCCUGUAGCCCCAGCUACUCAGGAGGCUGAGUGGAAGCAAUUUAUAGGGUGCAAGCGGCAGCACUGUAAGAAAGUUUGUGAGGAAGGAGAGUUUUGUAACCGGAGUCAAAUCCAGAGGGGCUUCCUGGCAGAGAAACAAACCACAGGUCAGGCCAAUGAUGGUCCCAGCUCUAGCGGGGCCCUGCCCUGGGCAAUGCACAUUUUAGUAAGAGGUAAGCCAAGGCCUCUGGGCCCCCAACCCUUCACUAGUGCUAGUGUGCUGAACCCCUGGCUCAGGAAGAAGGGAGGUGCUACAGGGGCAGGCCUUGGCAUGGAAGGAAUUGGGAGCUGCUCGGUAUAAUGCAAACCUUUAACUGCUCUUUUGCCUCUUCCAUUUUACUGUUCCUAGAGUC
rnacentral:lncRNA from 1 species